GAGAAAGCAAGAGACUGAGAGAGAGAGAGAGAGAGAGAGAGAGAGAGAGAGAAUUGGAGACAGAGAAAGCAAGAGACUGAGAGAGAGAGAGAGAGAGAGAGAGAGAGAGAAGUGGAGACAGAGAAAGCAAGAGCCUGAGAGAGAGAGAAAGAGAGAGAGAGAGAGACUUACCUCUGGUAAGAAUAUACCCUGCACACAUUUAGACACAUCGGUAUCAGACAGUGAGGAGAUGAGAGAGGAAAGUGGAUGUAAGAAAAAUUGUGGUUUUUUAAAGAUUUUUUGAAACUCACAUGAUUGUUGAAUUCUCAAAUAAAAGGAAUAAGUUACUUUGAGACUAAUAGCUAUAAGAAUAAAAGUCAUCAUAGUUACCAUAUCAGGUUAGAAUUUUUCCAUAACAGUACACCUCUAAGCAUGAAUAUCUAAUCCUUAAACAUCUACAGUAUAUAUGAUUACCUCUGGUUGUGUAUCCAGAACGUCUCCGAAUUCCUUCAUUGGGAUGACAGCCAUCUGAGCGAGAGAAUCUGUGUUUCUAAAACACAAUGAAAACAAUGAAACAAUGGAAGACUUUGUACAGUGAUAAUUAGCUUUUAAACAUAUGCAGUAGUUCAGAGCGCUGAGGGUCACAGGCAUAUUUUAUGAGGCUCUGCAACAAAAGGCUCAUUUUUGUGCUGUCUGAAACAGACUAUUUUAUCCAUACUCCGAAGGUUAUGGCUCUUUUAAAUGAACAGUUUGGUGGACAUCAGUGGCGGGCCGUACAUUUCACACUUAGGCCUUCACUGGUGUCCUUCCUGAAUUAAUCCACCUCUAUACCAUCAUUAUGACGCCACGGCAACAGAUACUAAUCAACCGUUAAAUAGUGAAGUAAAAAAUAAAUUAGGCUACAGUAUUUCACACCUCACAAGGAAUAGUCCAUUUUAUUACAGUCCGCCUUGAAAAUGCAUUUGUAAGGAUGUCUGCGACCAAAUCGAUUUUCUUCUCCUCUGUCAGCCAUUGUGAGUUAAAAUAUAUAUAUUUUAUUUUGUUUGUGCGGUUCGCUGCCUCUGACUACUCCAAUUAUCCAAUCACAGGACGGGAAAUUGCGGACAUAAUCGUAUGCCUGCUAGAUGGCCCCAGUGACGCCAACUCAAAUCUGAUUGGUUAAUGGAACAAUUUCAUCGCCACUUAUUUUAAGCUACGGGCGCCUGCGCUAUUGAUUCUGAAGGCCUUAAGGCAGAUUUAUUUCACCCUGGCAACACAUGAUGUCAGCUACUAGCUGAAAUAUGAUUGGAUAAAUACUCUUAUCAUAAAUAUACACUACUGGAAGCAGCACAACCAAGAGAAAAGCUAUGAAAUGUAGAGAAUAGACUAUUGGGAAUCAUUUAAUACACAUUCAUGGAAAAAUAUAUUAAAAUGCAAGUCAGUGAUUCAGUUCACUGCUGUUUAGGCCAGCAGAGAAGGCCUUGCUGGUCCUGAUGGCCCACCACUGAUGAACAUGUUUCAUUUAGAUCAGCUAAGAAAUGCUUGGUAAUGUUAUUCAUGCAACUUUGAAUCAAUUUUCAUCAAAAUGCUUUUGUGUUAUUUGUUCACCUAAGCCCUCCCUAAACUCCUCUCUCUUUCCAAUAUGGUUUUAUUUAAAAAAAAUCUUUCAUAGACAUACUAAUAGUAAUAGACGUAAUAGUUUUUAUUUAAAAUACACACCUAAUGUAGAUGAUUUUUACUUUAGAUGGUGCACUCUUGAUGAUAGAUGAGGCGUUCUGAUGGGAGCGACCAUACAGAAUCUGACCAUUGAUCUGCAAAGAGUUAAAUAAAGAAAUGAAUAAGCUGCACUCUAGUGGCUAGUUUAGAGACACGUUCAGAAAGAAAUGCAUUUUAAUCAGCAUGUAACAUCGUUAAACAAAUAUCUGUCUGAGUUCUAGGCCUUACCUCCAGCAGUUCAUCUCCUACAAUGAUGCGUCCAUCUCUCCCGGCUGCUCCGUUAGGAUCGAUGCCUACUACGAAGACACUCAUUCUUGAACGAUCCCUGUUCCCUGCCAGACUCAGGCCUAAACCACUUCUUCCCUUCUCCAGCUCGAUCAUAUGCAACACACCGGGCAGACUCCCAUAACGUUCGACCACCUUUUCUGCUUGCACACAGAGUAAUCACAUCUCACUGCAGGCUGCACUAUCAAACACUGAUUUAUUUUAAAGUGGGUUUUAUAGGUCAUAUACAGCAGAGGGCUGUAUUUUCUGUUGAUUUAUUGCCUUUAGCACCUUCUAAAAAUUUGUUUGGGGAGUAUUUCAUUGAUCAGAGCAGGUUUAAUACCUCAAAAAUCAUUUUAUUUCUCUAUCAUAAUAUCCCAGUGGACCUUGUGCGAUUCUAGUGUGACCACACUGCCAUCUGGUGGUGAUGUGCGAGUCAUUGCAGAGUCACAGAAAAAUAACUUACUCCAAGUGUAGCCAAACUCGUCUUCCUCUUCUUCCACCGUGUCACAGGGAAGCGUGAGAUGACCGGGGAUAUCAGUCAGUGAGUCCGUGUCCGUCUCGCCUAUGCGUGGCACCGAGAGGAACGGCAUUGUAGGGGAAAUUUUCCCUGGCUCUCGAUUCAGCUGCCAUAGCAAAAAGAGAAACGUAAAAUAAAAUAGUGUAUACUACAUUCCAAUCAAACCACUUCAAUUCAAUUAAAUGGAAAUAGCAGGAGAUAUUUUCUGAAAACCAUAAUCAGAAAAUCAGAAUUUCCAGACACUUUUUUUUCCUCUGAAAACCGUCCCUUAAAUUGGAUUUUAAUGCAAGCAGUUUCAUUGCAGAUCAUUCAUAGCUUAUUGUAUGAACCCCAGUCAUCAUCAUCAUCAUCCUCUUCCUCACAAAACAACACUGUACCUGCACAUUGUUCACCAAAGCCAGUGAGAUAAACCUGAACUUACCACUGACAUGGGCUACAAUAAAAAAGAACAAAAAAACAAAACAAAUCAAAACAAAUACCAUUAACACACAUAUGCAAAAGCCAGAUUAUUUAGGGACAAUUGCACAGUUAUAUAAACUAAUGGACCACUUUCAUGUCAACUAGCCUAUUUUACAUGUCUAUGUUUUGUGCAUUUACUUGUAGGAUAACGUCCUAUUACAAUACAGAUACAAAAACACAGAAAAUAAUUUUAUUUAACCUAUAGCAACUACCAGCUGUGCUAGGUGAACCCUAGUACUGAGAUACAUGAAGCUAAUCUAUUUCUAGCUGCUGCCAUUGCUGUGUCACGGAGCAGUGCAAGGCUGUCAGAUGAAAGCUCUUACACAGAUGCCCGUGAUUGGCUAGUUGUGCUCUAAAGUAUUUCAUCCCUCCUUCAAGGAGGAUAGAGCACAUGUGCUACUUGAUUCUUUACCCAUUCAGUUUCCUUUGUCUGUAUUAAUGUACCAAACCAGAUAACUAUCUUGCUAUACAUCCAGGCAUAACAUUAUGACCACCUGCCUAAUAUUGUGUUGGUCCACCAAGAUGUUAGCAGCAGAUCCUCCAUAGGCCCCACCUCGCGACUUACAGGACUUAAAGAUCUUGAAGGACACUUUUGAUAGAUACUGACCACUGCAGACCGAGAAGGGCUGCAGUUUUGGAGAUGCUCUGAUCCAGUCGUCUAUCCAUCACAAUUUGGCCCUUCAUCAAACUCGCUCAAAUCCUUAAACUUGUCCAUUUUUCCUGCACAUCAACUCUGAGGACAAAAUGUUCACUUGCUGCCUAACAUAUCCCACCCACUAACAAGUCCCAUGAUGAGGAGAUCAUCAGUGAUCAUAAUGUUAUGCCUGAUUGUUGUAUUGUUACAUUAGCUAGUCAGUUCGGUAUCCAGGCAAUCAUUUAGCAAACACACUGGAGCUUCAACCUGCUAGUAGAAUCAAUAGCUAUCACUCCAGAUAUUUAUGAUUACUGAUUAGCUUGUUAAGAACCAUGGCAUGUUUUACUGUUGCUGGUCCAAGCCGUGGUCUCUAGCAAGUAGUCUGUACUAAGUUUGUUUACCUGUGAACUGGUAUGUUUUUGAAUUACCCCUUGCGCUUAGUUUGCUGCAUACUUAUAUAUUUUCAACCACUAACAAACCAAUCCUAACAACAAGAAUCAUUCAAUAUCCGACUGUCUAAAAGAAAUCCAUAAUCAUCAGAAUUAUACCCUGUUUAAUUUUCAGCAGAGGUAACUGGAAAUUGCCCUGUUGUCUGGCUGCGCGUUCUCAUUAAACACCUUACAGUGAGUAUCAAACUGACACACAGAAACAGGAAGGUUGUUAGGGCCACAUGCAUGUGUAGCCAAUGUAAAAGACAUAUUUGAUUACCACACACAUGUUACAUGGAGCACGAACACACACACACACAAGACCACACACUGAGGCACAAACCUUAAAUGGAGUAGGGGUGAAAGGGUUAGUUGGGGAGAGACGGAGGAAAAGCCUACUGUGACUCUCAACAUCCUACAAAGAAAAGAAAAAGAGCAAGCAGCACCCGUGAGGGAGACAGAGAAGACACAGAACGAAGAGAGAGAGAGAGAGAGAGAGAGA